GUUGUUCCAAUAGAGGGCAGUAAAGAGAAAUAAAACUGUAUAUACAGUGUUGACUUUCAGUCUUAUGCACACUACUUACAGAGUGGAAGCCUGGAGAACACUUGACAAGAUGGCUAAAAUUAUUGUCUCAAGUAUAAUUUUGAUCAGUUUUAAAGCCGCAGUGAUCUCUUCCCUCAACAUCCAGCAAACACCACAACGUCUACUAAUGACACCUGAGCAGAUUGAAGCGAAGCUUAAAUGCCGUCAUGGUGAUGCCAGCUAUCAAUACAUGUACUGGUAUCAACAAAAGACAGUCAGUGACUCCAUUGAGCUCAUUGGAAUGCUUCAGAAUGGAAGAUCCAUUCCUGAAGAGAAGUUUAAAGCACGAUUUAACAUUUCAGGACACGCCACAGGGGAUGCAUUUCUGCUCAUAUCCAGUAUAACUACUGAGGACAGUGCAGUAUAUUUCUGUGCUGCUAGUAAGCACAGCCACACAUCUUCCCUCUCUGUUUAACAAAAAGCUUCACACCAAACACCUGCAAAUAAGAUCUGUUCUGUGAUUAGCACAGCUUGUAAUAGGACGCAAUAUAGGAAGUCUAGUAUGCUAAACACGGUAGCUCCAGAAAGGGCAUCCAAACUGAUAUCAACACAUGAAAGAGGAUCUGCACCUUUGACAGCAAUAGAGUUUAAACACCUGUAACCAAUGCAAAAUCUGUAGGAACCAUCCUUCUUAUGAACCAGUAGAACUGGUGAGGCCCAUAGGCUUUGGCUAGGCUCAAUUAAGUCAGCAUCAAAAAGUUUCUGUACUUGUUUGUGGAUUUCAUCUCUUAAGGCAGGUAAGGUAUUUUAUGCUCUCUGAUGCA